rnacentral:rRNA from 1 species
CGUACCUUUUGGUUCGGAACAACUGAGGGAAACUUCAGCUAAUACCGGAUAAGCCCUUACGGGGAAAGAUUUAUCGCCGAAAGAUCGGCCCGCGUCUGAUUAGCUAGUUGGUGAGGUAAUGGCUCACCAAGGCGACGAUCAGUAGCUGGUCUGAGAGGAUGAUCAGCCACAUUGGGACUGAGACACGGCCCAAACUCCUACGGGAGGCAGCAGUGGGGAAUAUUGGACAAUGGGCGCAAGCCUGAUCCAGCCAUGCCGCGUGAGUGAUGAAGGCCCUAGGGUUGUAAAGCUCUUUUGUGCGGGAAGAUAAUCACGGUACCGCAAGAAUAAGCCCCGGCUAACUUCGUGCCAGCAGCCGCGGUAAU